UACGUAGGGUGCGAGCGUUAAUCGGAAUUACUGGGCGUAAAGCGUGCGCAGGCGGUUCGUUGUGUCGGUGGUGAAAUCCCCGGGCUUAACCUGGGAAUGGCCAUGGAAACUGGCGAACUGGAGUGUGGCAGAGGGGGGUGGAAUUCCGCGUGUAGCAGUGAAAUGCGUAGAGGUGCGGAGGAACACCGAUGGCGAAGGCAGCCCCCUGGGCUAGCACUGACGCUCAGGCACGAAAGCGUGGGGAGCAAACAGG
rnacentral:rRNA from 1 species